rnacentral:rRNA from 1 species
AGUGAACGCUGGCGGUAGGCCUAACACAUGCAAGUCGAACGGCAGCACAGUAAGAGCUUGCUCUUACGGGUGGCGAGUGGCGGACGGGUGAGGAAUACAUCGGAAUCUACUUUUUCGUGGGGGAUAACGUAGGGAAACUUACGCUAAUACCGCAUACGACCUACGGGUGAAAGCAGGGGAUCUUCGGACCUUGCGCGAUUGAAUGAGCCGAUGUCGGAUUAGCUAGUUGGCGGGGUAAAGGCCCACCAAGGCGACGAUCCGUAGCUGGUCUGAGAGGAUGAUCAGCCACACUGGAACUGAGACACGGUCCAGACUCCUACGGGAGGCAGCAGUGGGGAAUAUUGGACAAUGGGCGCAAGCCUGAUCCAGCCAUACCGCGUGGGUGAAGAAGGCCUUCGGGUUGUAAAGCCCUUUUGUUGGGAAAGAAAAGCAGCAGGUUAAUACCCCGCUGUUCUGACGGUACCCAAAGAGUAAGCACCGGCUAACUUCG